AGGGAUCUGAUGCCAUAGGGAAGCAGGGAGCGUGGGCCAUAGGGAGCCAUAAGGAGCCAUAGGGGGUCAGGGAUCUGGUGCCAUAGGGAACCACAGGUCCGGGGCCAUAGGGAGCCAAGGAUCCAACGCCGUGGGGAAGCAGGGAUCUGAUGCCAUAGGGAACCACAGAUCUAGGGCCAUAUGGAGCCACAGGUCCAGGGCCAUAGGGAGCCAGGGAGCCGGGGCCACAGGGAGUCCAGGAUCUGGUGCCAUAGGGAACUAGGGGGCCAGGGCCAUAGGGAGCCAAGGAUCCCAUGCCGUGGGGAAGCAGGGAUCUGAUACCAUAGGGAACCAGGGGGCCAGGGCCAUAGGGAGCCA
ensembl:lncRNA